rnacentral:misc_RNA from 1 species
UGAAACAAAUGUGUAUAAUUGGUUUCAAAAUAGGCGUGCUCGAUCAAAAAGGAAGCAACAGGUUGCAGCAACAAACAACACUGAAUCAGAGGUGGAGACAGAGGUUGAGUCGCCCAAUGAAAAGAAAACAAAGCCAGAGGAUCUGCAGUCUUCUCACAUGCCUACUUCAAUGGCUGAAGAUCUUGGCUAUGAGAACCCUGACGUGAGCUCUGGAAUGCAUUCACUAGAUCCACGAACCAGUAAACCCGAGCCUAUGUUUCCAUCAGACGGUAGUUCAAAACCUGCUGCAAGUUAUGGCCAAAUGUCCUUCUAUGGAAUGUCUAAUCCAAGAAUGGACCAGCUAAUGGGAAAGAUGGAAGUGCCUGGGAGCUAUCAUCCAUAUAUACAUGCAGACGACUACAACAUGACCGGCUAACUACCAAUUUGGAAACUAAGUUUCAGCAAAUUAGAAUGAGACUAGAAGCCCCAAAACUCUAGCCGGAGUUUUUGAUCCUACUGUGCGUUAGCCACUGAUUGAUGAUAUUCUAUUACAGGAUGAUUCUGUGUGUGAAAAAAUGUACUUAUGGACCAUGCUUAUAGGAACUAUAUAGUAAAUAGUAUUUUCAUUUUGAUUUCUCCAUUUGCUCUGUAAUUUUUACUUUUGGAAUGAAGAUUUUGUCAAAACAUGAUGCAGG